rnacentral:rRNA from 1 species
CUGGUUGAUCCUGCCAGUCGUCAUAUGCUUGUUUCAAGGAUUAAGCCAUGCAAGUGUCAGAGUAACUGGAUUGAUAGGAGGUCUGCGUACGGCUCAUUAUAUCAUCAAUUAUCUACCCGGCGUAGCUGUUGUUGAACAGCCAGUUGGAUAACUUUGGUAACUCCAAAGCUAAUACACGUACGAAAAUGAUUGCCCCUUUCCAGCUCCAAAGGGAAACCUGAGGGGUGGGGGUGGUCAGCAGUUGGCCAGUACGACCAAACCAUCGCCUGAUGAAGGCAGCACUAACUGUUGAGGCAGGCCAAUAUUGCGAAAGGGCACUUCUUCGCGAAGGCCCGUUGCCGGACGAAUUUAUGCCCUAUCACGCUUUCGAUGGUAGGGUAGUGGCCUACCAUGGCUUUGACGGGUAACGGGGAAUUGGGGUUCGAUUCCGGAGAGGGUGCCUGAUAAACGGCAACCAUACCUAAGGGAAGCAGCAGGCGCGCAAAUUGCCCAAUGCCAACACUGGUGAGGCAGCGACGAAAAAUAACAACUUUGUCCUAUAUUCUAGGGCGAAGAUUGUAAUGGAUUGUAUCCAAACCCACUGCAGAGUAUCAAUUGGAGGGCAAGCCCGGUGCCAGCAGCCGCGGUAAUUCCGGCUCCAAUAGCGUAUAUUAAUGUUGUUGCGGUUAAAAAGCUCGUAGUUGGAUUCAGGGAUUUAUGGUUGUGUCGUGCCCCUGUCGACUGGCUCCGCUAGCCGGCUGCGUGGAUCCACACGUCACAUUAGACCAUAACCCUUUUUACGUGGUAAAGGUUGGGCUGCUGAAGCCUCCUUAAUUGGAGGUGGACGCACUUUCGCAGUGAACACACUGCUUACGCCCCGACCACGGCUGUUACUGUGAGUAAAACAGAGUGUUCAAAGCAACCGACUCGUCCGGUCUGAAUGAUUCAGCAUGGAAUAACAAGGGAUCGACCAUUUGGCUUCUUUUGUUGGUUUUCAAGCCAUUUUGUGGCAAUUCAGUUCAGGAGUCUCCCCAUUUUAUCCAACUCCUUCUGGUGUCUGGACUUAUAUGGUAGGGCCCUGUUUCUAUCGGGAUCAAUAGAGGCAGUUGGGGCCUUCCGUACUUCGUGGUGAGAGGUGAAAUUCUUAGACCCACGAAAGACGAACAACAGCGAAGGCAGUAGGCCAAUCUGCUUUCAUUAAUCAAGAACGAGAGUAAGGGGAUCGAAGAUGAUCAGAUACCGUCGUAGUCCUUUACCGUAAAUUAUGCGAACUUGGGAUUGGUUAUGCGAUAUCAGGCAUAAUCAGCACCUCCCUAUUUAUCGAGAAAUCAAAGUUUUUGCGUUCUGGGGGGAGUACAUUCGCAAGGCUGAAACUUAAAGGAAUUGACGGAAUGACACCACCAGACGUGGAGUGUGUGGCUUAAUUUGACUCAACACGGGGAAUUUUACCCGGACAGCACAUGAUUAGGAUUGUCAGAUUGAGAGCUCUUGCAUGAUUUCAUGGAGGGUGGUGCAUGGCCGUUCUUGGUUGGUGGAGUGAUUUGUCUGCUUAAUUGCGAUAACGAACGAGAUCUCUGCCAAUAAAUAGAUGCCUCUUCCGUUUGUACAUGAUGGCCCCGGCCGCUUGCGGUGGGGUUUCCCAGAGUGGAGGAGGAGGACUUUUACUUAUUGGGAUUAUGCAUUCUGCCAAAUGCAUUGAGACGAGAGCCAAUAGCAGGUCUGUGAUGCUCCUAAAUGUCCUGGGCCGCACGCGCACUACACUGAUCCAGACAGCAAGCUCAUGCUUAUGCAUCCUGAGUUGGAAAGCUUUGGGAAAUCUUUUAAGCCUGGAUCGUGAUGGGGAUAGAUGAUUGCAAUUAUUCCUCUUGAACGAGGAAUGUCUCGUAGUCCCGUUUCAUCAGAACGGAACGAUUAUGUCCCUGCCAUUUGUACACACCGCCCGUCGUUGCUACCGAUUGGUUGGCUGGUAGAACCAUUUGGAGGGGGCUCUUGACGUUCUUUGAACCGAUCGAGUCUGCUAAAUUUGGUGAUAUUGGCUAACUGUAGGAAGCAAAAGUCGUAACAAGGUUACUGUAGGUGAACCUGCAGAAGGAUCA